GUAAACAACUGUCUCCCAGACAUCUUAUGUCCAGUCCACUAGGUAAACAACUGUCUCCCAGACAUCUUAUGUCCACUUGGUAAACAACUGUCUCCCAGACAUCUUAUGUCCACUAGGUAAACAACUGUCUCCCAGACAUCUUAUGUCCACUAUGUAAACAACUGUCUCCCAGACAUCUUUUGUCCACUAGUUAAACAACAGUCUCCCAGACAUCUUAUGUCCACUAGGUAAACAACUGUCUCCCAGACAUCUUAUGUCCAGUAGGUAAACAACUGUCUCCCAGACAUUUUAUGUCCACUAGGUAAACAACUGCUCAGAGGUACUUUCCAAGUCAAUACUGAGAAUCUACAAACGCUUUGUUAAAAUUUGUUUAUGAGAGAACUUGUACAAUACUUUCUGUAUUAUCGAACCAUGUAGAAUCAGAUUGAUGAUAUGGGUUGAUAUGUUCUCUGCACAGACAGUAGACAAACCAUGUAGAAUCAGAUUGAUGAUGUGGGUUGAUAUGUUCUCUGCACAGACAGUAGACGAACCAUGUAGAAUCAGAUUGAUGAUGUGGGUUGAUAUGUUCUCUGCACAGACAGUAGAUAAACCAUGUAGAAUCAGAUUGAUGAUGUGGGUUGAUAUGUUCUCUGCACAGACAGUAGAUAAACCAUGUAGAAUCAGAUUGAUGAUUUGGGUUGAUAUGUUCUCUGCACAGACAGUAGACAAACCAUGUAGAAUCAGAUUGAUGAUGUCAGCAGAUAUCGAAUAUGAAGGAGCUCGUCGUUUCUUACCGGCGACCACUUUGCGUCCCAAAUGGCACCCUAUUCCCUAUUUAGUGCACUACUUUAGACCCUAUUCCCUAUUUAGUGCACAACUUUUGACAAUGGUUCACAGGGCUCAAGUCAAAAGAAGUGCUUUAUAAUAGGGAAUAGGGUGCUAUUUGGAAUGGAGACUCUAGCAGAGAGGUCAUUGGGAAAGGUGACAUGUACCUUUAUGACCAAGGGAUUCAAUGGGAAAAUGUAUCUUACUGUAAUUACAUGGUAAUAACUAAAGCCAUGCAUGGUGUAGUUACACAGUUGCACCUCUAAGGGGGCGAUAGAGAGAACUUUUUCUUCACUUCGACCUCUUCCUGUCUGAAGUUAGAUGGAUAUUUGAUCAAAUCGGCGAAAAAUCUGAAAAUGAAUUGGCAUUGAACGAGUUGAGCAAUUUUAAAACUUCUUGAAUUGGACUCAUCUGUAGACAUAGGGUGUGUCCGAAAGUGCACCCUGUUUCCUAUGUAGUGUGUAGUGUACUCUGUUUUGACCAGGGACCACUAUAUAAAAUAUGGUACCGUUUGGGUCACCGCCAUACAACCGUAAUGGAAAACAACCUAC
rnacentral:lncRNA from 1 species